rnacentral:rRNA from 1 species
UACGGAGGGGGCUAGCGUUGUUCGGAAUUACUGGGCGUAAAGCGCGCGUAGGCGGACCUGCAAGUCAGGGGUGAAAUCCCGGGGCUCAACCUCGGAACUGCCUUUGAUACUGCAAAUCUCGAGUCCGGAAGAGGUGAGUGGAAUUCCUAGUGUAGAGGUGAAAUUCGUAGAUAUUAGGAAGAACACCAGUGGCGAAGGCGGCUCACUGGUCCGGUACUGACGCUGAGGUGCGAAAGCGUGGGGAGCAAACAGG